UCGGCCCCUCCCGCCCCGAGCGGCUGGCUGCAGGCAGAGCCUCCUGCAGCCCUUAUCUGUGAAACCGUUUGCUUGCAGAUGAGGAACACAAUUUUCCUUGCUGGGAAGGAGAGUGAGCCUGAUUGUCCGAAAAAGACAGAGUCACUGUAGUCUCCCCAGGACACAGCUGCCUUGAGGAAAUGAAGAUUUUAUGUCAGAGAUGCCCAGAGAAAGAUGCAGCUUCUGACACUCAAAACGGGCCUCUUUCCCUCACAUAAGACACUGCUGAGAAAGACAAGGAUUUUGUUUGUUUUCAUCUCAGGCUCAGAGAGGUGUGUGAUAUUCUUUAAAGUCACAGGAUUCAUCUGAACACGGCAACUGAACAGCAGACCUAUUGAAUAAUGGAAGAGAUCUGAACACUUUCCACUUAUUUCUGUCUUUGGGUGUGUGUUCUUUUGAGGCUCUUGGUCUGGUUUCGGAUUUUGCCGCUUAUAAAAUCCCCACCAAGCUCCCAAAUAUCAUGUCAACAAACAAUAUUUAGACCCAAUUUUGGUUGCUUCUGUGGCAGUCUUUAUAUAAAUCUACUGCAUUUAUAUAAAAAUGAAAACACUGUUAUGAAAAUGUUUAUGAUGUGUUUUUUGCCUACAACUCUGAUUCUUUCUUUAGGAAAAUUGUCCAGUAGAGUGAAGUGGAGAAAUGCUGAAACACUGUUAAGUGUC